CAGUAGGGAGGAAGGUAGUGUAGUUAACACCUGCAUUAUUUGACGUUACCUACAGAAGAAGCACCGGCUAACUCCGUGCCAGCAGCCGCGGUAAUACGGGAGGGUGCGAGCGUUAAUACGGAAUUACUGGGACGUAAAGCGCAUGCAGGCGGCCUGUUAAGUCAGAUGUAGAAACGGCCCGGGGACCGUUUAACCGUACGGUAAGUUGCUAUUUAGUAAACGUGGCGAGGCUAGAGUCUUGUAGAGGGGGGUAGGAAUUUCAGGUGUAGCGGUGAAAUGCGUAGAGAUCUGAAGGAAUACCAGUGGCGAAGGCGGCCCCCUGGACAAAGACUGACGCUCAGAUGCGAAAGCGUGGGGAGCAAACAGGAUUAGAUACCCUGGUAG
rnacentral:rRNA from 1 species